GUCGGUAUCGAUUAGGGGUUAAAUCACUUCGUUGUGGAAGAACGUAGCUGUCAAAACUCCGAAGAGCCGCUGGUUCGAUUCCAGCUACCGACA
rnacentral:tRNA from 1 species